rnacentral:pre_miRNA from 1 species
UAACCUCCACAGGCUGGUCAGCCCCCAGGCUGGGCUGGGAGUGUGUCACUUGGAAAGGCUCACCCUCAAGCAGGACUGGGAGC